UACAGAGGGAGUCUGUUGCAGGCUAACUUCCUGUACAUAGUUUUCCAAUAGGAAGUAGAUAAAAGCAGGGUGCAGGGUGGAUGAAUCGUUUUGGUUGGCCCGGUCAGCGUGCAUUAAGUGCGAGCUGAAAAGUUAUUUAUAGCAGAAGUGUAUCUUCGCGUCAGGCGCAGCUUGUUAAAAGCGGGACGAGUAACUGGUCGGCGCUUGGCUUUUGUCCUCAAUCAAAAGCAGGGACGUUGCGAGUCGGAACAACGAGAGCUUUUCAUUCAUACGGGCGAAUUGCUGUCGUAGCUGUAAACAGGAACGCUUUUUGGGGAUUAAACCGGAUGCCGAGGAGUCGGGUGGAGCACCAGUAAUUAAUACAACUAGGAGCGGGGAUCCCAAGUGCAAGGUGGUGAUUCACUGACGUGAUUUUGUAAUGAUUUAAUAUAUUAAUGUGGGACGGACUGUGCCAAUUGUUUGCUUCUUCCCUGCUUAAAUGUGUUGCACCAUUGCUGUGAGUAGAAAUAGAUUUUAUAUAUUUAUUCUGUGUGGUAUGUUGUAAGUGACACUUUAUACUGUAUGAAACACUAUUGUGUAAACCAGGGAAGAAUAAUACAGUUAGAAGGAAACUGGUGCAGUUGGUUUUAUGCUAUGUGUACUUAUGGUAGGUUUGUGAUUUAUUGCAGAAACUGAGUGCUUCGGGGUGUAAUUGCCGCUUUCCCCUAUUAUAAAUGUGAGAAUUAUAUUGUACCUCCAAAGUGUAUUGUACAUUUAGCUUGUUUUGUUUGUUGUUUUCUGUACUUUCCUGAAGGGGUGGUUUCUUUUUUUGAAUGGUUUGGCAAACAGUAUCAUAACAUUGUGCAACACUUACUCAAGGCUAACCCUAGCAUAGAUUUGGGGUGGUUCCACAUGUAUUAUUCAGUUUGAGCUUGCCGUGUACAGGGUUUCCAUAUUGGGGGUGCUGUGUUAACUAAGAUUGUGGUAUUUGAUACACUGUGUGAUAGUGAGGUUCUGCUGUUGGCCAUUUGUGUGCCUAUGGACAGUAUUAUUUGCCAACCUUCAAUAUUUUAACUAUACCAUUUGUGAUGAUAAAGUAAGAUAUUAUUUUUU